ensembl:lncRNA
GCCAUUCUAUAUUUUAAAUGCCAGUUUUAAAUACAAAUAUCAUAGUAUUCACACACGGAAUUACACAAUACAGAAAUCACACAAUUUGUGAGUUAUGAUUUGCUCCGGGGGUGUCUUGAACUGUCCAGAAGAGGCAAACGCUAGAGAGACAGAGGAAGAUGAUAAAGAGGAAAGGAGCCCUCCCAAUCCACCCCCAAGCUCAGAGCCGGAGUACGCGGCGCUCCAGGGGCCAGCGGACACUCUCCUGGACGGCCCCGCAGGGCGCAUCCCUCCCGCAGGCAGGCAGCGAAGAAGGCCGGCGCCGGGCUGCUGGGUCCGGCUCCUGCCAGCUGCUGACCGCGGCGCCGCGUCCUCGCCGGGCGAAGCCUAGCGACUUCAGGUCAGGUGUCUCUCCUUCCCUAGGGCCCGCCGCCCACACCGGGGCAGAAAAGCGACUCCCAAUGGUAUGGAGACCUUCGCAUCGGUCCAGCUCUCGCCCCUGGACCCGGCUGCGAGGCAUGUGGGAUCCUAGCUCCAUGACCAGGGAUCGAACCCACACCCCCUGCACUGGAAGGCUAAGCCAAUGCUGGACUGCCAGGGAAGACUCUGCUGUUUCUUAUAAAGCUAAAGGGACAAUUACCAUUGGAGCCAGCAAUCCCAUUCCUAGGUGUUUACCUAAGAGAAAUAAGAUAUCGGUCCACACAAAGACUUGUAUGUGAAUGUUCUUAGCAGCUUUAUCACAGUAGCCCCAAAGUGGAAACAACUCAAAUGCCCC